CCUACGGGAGGCUGCAGUCGAGAAUCUUCGGCAAUGGGCGCAAGCCUGACCGAGCGACGCCGCGUGGAGGACGAAGGCCUUCGGGUUGUAAACUCCUGUCGAGGGGGAAGAAGGGUCGAAAGACCUUGACUGAUCCCUGGAGGAAGCACGGGCUAAGUUCGUGCCAGCAGCCGCGGUAAGACGAACCGUGCGAACGUUAUUCGGAAUCACUGGGCUUAAAGCGCGUGUAGGCGGGAGGGCACGUCCGUCGCUGAAAUCCCCCGGCUCAACCGGGGAACGGGCGCGGAUACGACCUUCCUUGAGGGGCGUAGGGGGACCUGGAACUUCCGGUGGAGCGGUGAAAUGCGUUGAGAUCGGAAGGAACGCCCGUGGCGAAAGCGAGGUCCUGGACGCCUACUGACGCUGAGACGCGAAAGCCAGGGGAGCGAACGGGAUUAGAU
rnacentral:rRNA from 1 species